AAGGAAGGAAGGAAGAAAGAAAAAGAAAGAAAAGAAAAUACCCAAUCCAAACUCUCAUGAAAUCUACACUGGGCUUGGCUGGGGUGAAGGGAAAAAAU